CUCAGUUUCGGGCUGAUACCCUAAAAUAAUAAUGAAAAAUGGAUUGACGGUGUGGAUGAAACCCAUACAUGACGUCGGCCACUCAGAUCCCCAGCUUAGCUGAGCUGGGACAGGCAGGGGUUGUACCGAAUCCGCGUCAUUUACAUCGGUCGUGGACGCGUUACCAACGCACCAUGGUCUGCCAACGCAUCAAAAAGGUUCUCGAAAUAAAAGGGAAUUUGGGAGAGUGAAGAAAUUCCAAAGAUCGGUCGCCGCACCAUUUCUUACAGGAAAAGGACAUUCUAUGGACACUGAAGCCCCCGCUACAGCAGUUUCUCAGGAACUCACUAGGGAAUCACUUAUUGCAAUCUCUCAGGCAGUUCCAGAUAAUCUUCUCUCCUCAAAACUGUUGCCCGACAACGUGACCAAUGUGAAUGUGGCUCAACCAAAAGAUAGUGAUGGGGCCGAAGAUUAUAGAUCCAAGCUGAUCUCCAUUUCGUACACGCAGUCCCCAGAUAAGGAAACCUUCCCAGCUUCACCUGGAAAUCUCAACCAUUAGCCACAAAAGCAGCUUAUGGCUCAUUGGAGAUUGUUGUAAUACACUCAUGGUUUGUAUUUUGGAACUCUAGUAAAUGGGCCACGCUACAUGUUUGGGUAAUGCUUUAUACUGUUGGGUUGUUAUACGUGUGAUGUGCCAAUAAAAGAUACCCUGAUAUGUACAUAUUUUAGGUCCAAUGGAAGGAUCUUUGAACAAUGAAUUUAAUCCACCAUCGCUUCAGAUGCCA